UACGUAGGGUGCGAGCGUUAAUCGGAAUUACUGGGCGUAAAGCGUGCGCAGGCGGUUCGUUGUGUCGGUGGUGAAAUCCCCGGGCUUAACCUGGGAAUGGCCAUGGAAACUGGCGAACUGGAGUGCGGCAGAGGGGGUGGAAUUCCGCGUGUAGCAGUGAAAUGCGUAGAGAUGCGGAGGAACACCGAUGGCGAAGGCAGGUCUCUGGGCCACUACUGACGCUGAGAAGCGAAAGCAUGGGGAGCGAACAGG
rnacentral:rRNA from 1 species